AGCUUGCUCUUCUUGGAUGAGUUGCGAACGGGUGAGUAACGCGUAGGUAACCUGCCUUGUAGCGGGGGAUAACUAUUGGAAACGAUAGCUAAUACCGCAUAACAAUGGAUGACACAUGUCAUUUAUUUGAAAGGGGCAAUUGCUCCACUACAAGAUGGACCUGCGUUGUAUUAGCUAGUAGGUGAGGUAACGGCUCACCUAGGCGACGAUACAUAGCCGACCUGAGAGGGUGAUCGGCCACACUGGGACUGAGACACGGCCCAGACUCCUACGGGAGGCAGCAGUAGGGAAUCUUCGGCAAUGGGGGCAACCCUGACCGAGCAACGCCGCGUGAGUGAAGAAGGUUUUCGGAUCGUAAAGCUCUGUUGUAAGUCAAGAACGAGUGUGAGAGUGGAAAGUUCACACUGUGACGGUAGCUUACCAGAAAGGGACGGCUAACUACGUGCCAGCAGCCGCGGUAAUACGUAGGUCCCGAGCGUUGUCCGGAUUUAUUGGGCGUAAAGCGAGCGCAGGCGGUUUGAUAAGUCUGAAGUUAAAGGCUGUGGCUCAACCAUAGUUCGCUUUGGAAACUGUCAAACUUGAGUGCAGAAGGGGAGAGUGGAAUUCCAUGUGUAGCGGUGAAAUGCGUAGAUAUAUGGAGGAACACCGGUGGCGAAAGCGGCUCUCUGGUCCGUAACUGACGCUGAGGCUCGAAAGCGUGGGAAGCGAACAGGAUUAGAUAUCCUGGUAGUCCACGCUGUAAACGAUGAGUGCUAGGUGUUGGAUCCUUUCCGGGAUUCAGUGCC
rnacentral:rRNA from 1 species